rnacentral:rRNA from 1 species
CAUCUUUUCUCGUUAGUUUUUGAAGUAUGGCCUGCCCGCUGACUUUGGUGUUGAAGGGCCGCGGUAUUUUGACCGUGCAAAGGUAGCAUAGUCAUUAGUUCUUUAAUUGUGAUCUGGUAUGAAUGGCUUGACGAGGCAUGGGCUGUCUUAAUUUUGAAUUGUUUAUUGAAUUUGGUCUUUGAGUUAAAAUUCUUAGAUGUUUUUAUGGGACGAGAAGACCCUAUAGAGUUUAACAUUUGUUGUGGUCCCUUUCUGUUUGUGAGGGUUCAUUGGGCCGUUUAAUAUGUUUUGUUGGGGUGAUGGGAGGGAUUAUUUAACCCCUCCUUUUAUUAUUAUAUUUAUUUAUAUUUACUUGAUCCAUUUAUUUUGAUUGUAAGAUUAAAUUACC